AGGAUAGGUGGGAGGCUUUGAAGCGUGGACGCCAGUCUGCGUGGAGCCGACCUUGAAAUACCACCCUUUAAUGUUUGAUGUUCUAACGUGGACCCGUAAUCCGGGUUGCGGACAGUGUCUGGUGGGUAGUUUGACUGGGGCGGUCUCCUCCUAAAGAGUAACGGAGGAGCACGAAGGUUGGCUAAUCCUGGUCGGACAUCAGGAGGUUAGUGCAAUGGCAUAAGCCAGCUUGACUGCGAGCGUGACGGCGCGAGCAGGUGCGAAAGCAGGUCAUAGUGAUCCGGUGGUUCUGAAUGGAAGGGCCAUCGCUCAACGGAUAAAAGGUACUCCGGGGAUAACAGGCUGAUACCGCCCAAGAGUUCAUAUCGACGGCGGUGUUUGGCACCUCGAUGUCGGCUCAUCACAUCCUGGGGCUGAAGUAGGUCCCAAGGGUAUGGCUGUUCGCCAUUUAAAGUGGUACGCGAGCUGGGUUUAGAACGUCGUGAGACAGUUCGGUCCCUAUCUGCCGUGGGCGCUGGAGAACUGAGGGGGGCUGCUCCUAGUACGAGAGGACCGGAGUGGACGCAUCACUGGUGUUCGGGUUGUCAUGCCAAUGGCACUGCCCGGUAGCUAAAUGCGGAAGAGAUAAGUGCUGAAAGCAUCUAAGCACGAAACUUGCCCCGA
rnacentral:rRNA from 1 species